AUCAAGGACUAUCCUGAUAGGAUUUCUCCACACAUCGUUAGAAAUGCCUCAUAUUGUAACUUGUGGUUCUGCUUGCUCAUAGGACUGGCUCUUGGGCCUGUGGGGAACUCUGAGACAAUU
ensembl:snoRNA predicted gene, 24769